rnacentral:rRNA from 1 species
UACGAAGGGGGCUAGCGUUGCUCGGAAUCACUGGGCGUAAAGGGUGCGUAGGUGGGUCUGUAAGUCAGUGGUGAAAUCUCCGAGCUUAACUCGGAAACUGCCAUUGAUACUAUAGGUCUUGAAUUAUCUGGAGGUAAGCGGAAUAUGUCAUGUAGCGGUGAAAUGCUUAGAUAUGACAUAGAACACCAAUUGCGAAGGCAGCUUACUACGGAUAUAUUGACACUGAGGCACGAAAGCGUGGGGAUCAAACAGG